rnacentral:rRNA from 1 species
UACGGAGGGUGCAAGCGUUAUCCGGAAUUACUGGGCGUAAAGGGCUCGUAGGCGUCCAACUAAGUCAGACGUGAAAUCCCUCGGCUUAACCGGGGAACUGCGUCUGAUACUGGAUGGCUUGAGUUUGGGAGAGGGAUGCGGAAUUCCAGGUGUAGCGGUGAAAUGCGUAGAUAUCUGGAGGAACACCGGUGGCGAAGGCGGCAUCCUGGACCAACACUGACGCUGAGUGAGCGAAAGCCAGGGGAGCAAACGGG